AUUGAACGCUGGCGGUAUGCUUAACACAUGCAAGUCGAACGGUAGCAGGCCUUCGGGCGCUGACGAGUGGCGGACGGGUGAGUAACGCGUAGGAAUCUGCCUCAUAGUGGGGGACAACGUGGGGAAACUCACGCUAAUACCGCAUACGCCCUACGGGGGAAAGCGGGGGAUCUUCGGACCUCGCGCUAAUGAGAUGAGCCUGCGUUAGAUUAGCUAGUUGGUAGGGUAAAGGCCUACCAAGGCGACGAUCUAUAGCUGGUCUGAGAGGACGAUCAGCCACACUGGGACUGAGACACGGCCCAGACUCCUACGGGAGGCAGCAGUGGGGAAUAUUGGACAAUGGGCGCAAGCCUGAUCCAGCAAUACCGCGUGUGUGAAGAAGGCCUUAGGGUGUAAAGCACUUUCAAUUGGGAGGAAAACCUGUCGGUCAAUACCCGGCAGCUUGACAUUACCUUUAGAAGAAGCACCGGCUAAACUCCGUGCCAGCAGCCGCGGUAAU
rnacentral:rRNA from 1 species